AAUCAACGCUGGCGGCGUGCCUAACACAUGCAAGUCGAACGCGAAAGUGGAGCAAUCCAUGAGUAGAGUGGCAAACGGGUGAGUAACACGUGGGUGACCUGCCUUCGAGUGGGGGAUAACGUCCCGAAAGGGACGCUAAUACCGCAUAAUAUGCUGUCUUUUAAGAGAGAGACAUCAAAGCCGGGGACCGUAAGGCCUGGCGCUUGAAGAGGGGCCCGCGCCUGAUUAGCUAGUUGGUGGGGUAAUGGCUCACCAAGGCAACGAUCAGUAUCCGGCCUGAGAGGGCGGACGGACACACUGGGACUGAGACACGGCCCAGACUCCUACGGGAGGCAGCAGUGGGGAAUUUUGGACAAUGGGCGCAAGCCUGAUCCAGCCAUGCCGCGUGAGUGAAGAAGGCCUC
rnacentral:rRNA from 1 species